rnacentral:rRNA from 1 species
UACGAAGGUCCCAAGCGUUAUUCGGAAUCACUGGGCGUAAAGGGAGCGUAGGCGGCGCGGAAAGUCAGAUGUGAAAGCCCAAGGCUCAACCUUGGAACUGCAUCCGAUACUCCCGCGCUAGAGGACUGGAGAGGUGUUUGGAAUUAUCGGUGUAGCAGUGAAAUGCGUAGAUACCAUAAAGAACACCGAUAGCGAAGGCAGCUUACUAGACCGUAACUGACGCUGAGGUGCGAAAGCGUGGGGAGCAAACAGG